CCUACGGGUGGCAGCAGUAGGGAAUAUUGCUCAAUGGGGGAAACCCUGAAGCAGCAACGCCGCGUGGAGGAUGACGGUUUUCGGAUUGUAAACUCCUUUUGUUAGAGAAGAUAAUGACGGUAUCUAACGAAUAAGCACCGGCUAACUCCGUGCCAGCAGCCGCGGUAAUACGGAGGGUGCAAGCGUUACUCGGAAUCAUUGGGCGUAAAGGGCGCGUAGGCGGGAUAGCAAGUCAGAUGUGAAAUCCUAUGGCUUAACCAUAGAACUGCAUUUGAAACUGUUAUUCUAGAGUAUGGUAGAGGUAGGUGGAAUGUUUGGUGUAGGGGUAAAAUCCGUAGAGAUCAAGAGGAAUACUCAUUGCGAAGGCGACCUGCUAGAACAUAACUGACGCUGAGGCGCGAAAGCGUGGGGAGCAAACAGGAUUAGAUACCCGAGUAGUC
rnacentral:rRNA from 1 species